GGAAGUUGUCCAACACAACUAAUAAAGUUAUUCAUCCAGUGGAUGAUUCAAGAGACCUAUAUUUUUUCUCCGAUACCCCUCAUCUUAUAAAGUGCAUAAGAAACCGAUUUUUGAACAACAACGCUCUAAUAACGCCUGAAGGUGGAAUACUUUGGGAGUAUUAUAAAAUUCUACUACAACUAGAUCAAACACAAAGUAACAACACAAGAGUGUGUCCAAAAAUAACCGAAAUGCAUAUAAAUCCAAACGGUUUUAUGAAAAUGAGAGUAAAACUUGCAACUCAGAUUUUUAGUAAUUCUGUUGCCGAAGGUCUCAUCCAUUAUCAGAGGCGUUGUGAUAGACUUAAAAAUGCCGAUUGUACAAUUUCAUUUACCAGGAGAAUCAAUAAUUUAUUCGAUGUUUUGAACAGCCGUCGUAGUGGUGAAGGCAUUAUCAGUGGAAGUAAAGAUUUUGAAGUACUUCGAGAGAAUUUAAAUUUUAUUAACCAUUGGGAGAAUAUGGUAGUUGAGAAAAAAAUUACAAAAGAUCAUUUUUUAUCAAGCUCCACUGCUGAAGGUCUUCGUGUGACUAUUUCAUCUACUAUGGAUUUGUGCAAUUAUCUUCUGAAAACGCGAACAUUCAGUUAUGUGCUUACUAGCAAAAUGAAUCAAGAUCCCUUAGAGCGUUUUUUUGGAACAAUUAGACAAGCUGGUUGUGAUAAUGAUCACCCUACAAUGGUGACGUUUAUGCAUGUAUAUCGUUUAUUAUAGACUUAUAAGCUGCUGAAACCUCCAAAAUUUGGCAAUUGCACGAAUGACGAAGACGAAUCACAAAACACGGUGCUGUCUAUUACAAAUUUUAAAGCUAUCUUUUGUGACAAUGACUCUGCUAACAAAGCUCAGCAUAUUGAAAAAAUCAAGGGUAAAUUAGAUGGGCUUCUUGAAGGAGAAUUUUGGGAGGAUUCUGAAGACACCGUGGCACCUAUUUACGAUGUCGAUAUACCUGAAACACUAGAUUGCAUUAUUUAUUACUUAACUGGUUUUAUUUGUAAAAAGCUAUAUCGAGAAUCAAGCUGCAAAUUUUGUCGGGAGCUGCUGUAUAAUCCCAAACCUACUCAUGUUUUAGCUCCCGAAGCUGAGUUAGUUGAAUUAAAAUCUCGAGGAUGGCUGAAUCAUCCCAAUAAACCUAUUCAUAAUUUAUUAAAGAAGUUAGAAAGUGUGAUGUUUAAACAUAUCGACUCUGUUGAUGU